GACGAACGCUGGCGGCGUGCCUAACACAUGCAAGUCGAGCGGAGACAUAUGACGGAAGGAAAGUUUUCGGAUGGACCUGAAGAUGUAUGUUUUAGCGGCGGACGGGUGAGUAACGCGUGAGCAACCUGUCCUUCACAGGGGGAUAACACAGCGAAAGUUGUACUAAUACCGCAUAAGACCACAGUGGGACAUCCCACAGGGGUCAAAGGAGCAAUCCGGUGUUGGGUGGGCUUGCGUCCGAUUAGAUAGUUGGUGAUGUAACGGCCCACCAAGUCGACGAUCGGUCGCCGACCUGAGAGGGUGACCGGCCACAUUGGGACUGAGACACGGCCCAACUCCUACGGGAGGCAGCAGUGGGGAAUAUUGGGCAUGGGGGAAACCCUGACCCAGCAACGCCGCGUGAGGGAAGAGUUUCGGAUCGUAACCUCUGUCCUUGGUGAGAGGAGAGACGUAGCCAGAGAGCCCUGCUACUACGUGCAGCAGCCGCGUAUACUAGGGCCACGUUGUCCGAUGAUGGCGUAAGGCCGUAGCGCCCGGACCUACUGAACCCGGUUACUGAAUUCUUGUACUCAGCUGGUCGCGAGAGAUUCCUUCCUCCGCUUAUUGGACUAGACUGUAUGUAGCAUGGAGAAUCGCUCUACCAUG
rnacentral:rRNA from 1 species